GCCGCCAUGGGCCCGCGGCCCUGCCCUCAGCGCUGCCGCUGAACCCCCUCAGCGCUGCCGCCCUUCCCGCCCGCUCCGGCCCCGAGCCGCGGCGGUGCCCGGGCCCUCGGUGCCCUCAGUGUCCCCUCAGUGUCCCCGCUGUCCCCGUGGCCUGUCUGGGAGCAGGACGGAGCAGCCCCUGAGUGUCCGAGAGAUCACUGCAUGAUGUGAAACCUUCCUGACACAUGAAGGCCUUUGGAAGCUGAGGUGCCUGAGGGCUGCUGGCUCAGAGCAGGGCUGGCCAAGGGACCUUCUCUGAAAUCCCUUCUCCACGCAGGAAGAGAAACAUUUGCUCAUCUGACGGUGCACCUGGAACAAAUUUGCAUGGUCUGUUGAUAUUUAUUAGUGCAGGUGUGUGAUUUAAGGUUGAAGAGAAUUUUCCAGCUACUUGUCUUGUGCAUUACUGAAACAUAAGUGGUUGGAACAUCUUACCAGUGACUGUCACACACUUCAGCUUGCCCAAAGGUCUCCCGACGUGUAAGGAGAGACAAGCAGGAAGAAUGGGGGAAGAACAAGCCCAGGGAUCUGUUGUCUUUUCAGAAGCCUCAGCCAUGACCGAUGAACUCAACAUAAAGCCACUGACUGAAAGGAAAAGAGACUCAGACAAAGAAUCUACGUUAAAUGUGAUCAAAAAUUCUGAUGGACAGUUUAACCUUGAGGCUGCAAUUAAAAAUGUUGACACAAUGUCCAAUGAGUUGAAGAAAAUAAAUGUGGAAAGCCAGCUGCUGCUUUGUGACCUGAUUUUGAAUUUCAACCAUCCUAUGAAGGCCAAAGAUUUAAGAGGAGCUGAAGAAAAGACUUGGAGUUCGACUGAUUAAGUUACAUCCAUUUUCAUGUAUUGUCUUCUAUUAUACUGCUGAAGUUGCUUUUUCUUCUUCUUCUUCUUUUUCCUUCUUCUUCUUCUUUCUUCUUCUUCUUUCUUCUUAAUCUUCUUUCUUUUAAUUAACUUUGAACUGUACAAUGAUAGCAUGGUUUCUUGCAGGUAGACUUUGUUUUAAGCUAAACAUAUGGAAUGGAAAAAAAAAGUAAGUUAUUGGUUCUGAGAGUGGUUUUUUCAACCCACAUUUCCCAAAUUAAGCCCACUAGGGCCGGAAAGACUGAUGUAAUUAAUUAAAAAUAUUGGGAAACUGGGCAUGAAGUUUCUCACGUGGUUUUCUCCUUUUAAACAAAAACCUGUUGGAGCAGUAACAGAAGAUUUGAAAUUUACUUCAAGUCACUGUCUGUUGUCUCAGUUGUGCCUGGGGAAACAGGAUAAGAAACUGCCAGUGAAGGAGGAACUGCAAUUUGUGUUUUGAGCUGCCUUCCUCAUCUUAAAAAUGUUGCUGAGGAAAGGGUCAAAGAGCAGAUUACUUCUGGAAAACCAAAAAUGCUUUCUAUUCUAGUUUCUGUAAUAACUCUGUAAUGCAACUAGCUACAAGAAUAAGGAGGAAUUUGUGGUUUCAGUGCUCUGUCCCAAAAUCUUCUUGGCCCAACAUUUGUACUGCCACUCUUUUCCUGUAGUUCAUUACAAUUCAUAUUCAAUCAUAUUUGUAGACAUGUUUGAAUGUUGAGAUGUGGCUUUAUUCCUACACCAAAUAUAUUUCUCUGAAUAAUCAAAUAGAGAUUUAUUCUACUUUAAAAAUAUGCAAUGUUAGAAUUUGUUAUGCUGGUUUAUAUUUUAUUUCUCUUUCACUGGUGAGAUGAUUUAAAAUUAAUAAAACACAAUUCCACAGGA